GAAAAGUUUAAGAAAAUUAGGGGUGUUUCAUUAAUUGAUCUACACACUGUUGAUCGACUUCCUUUGCGAUCUUCCACGAAAUGGAAGUCUUUUUUUCUGGAUGGGAGAGGGCAGUCGGCAGAGGAAGCAAGAGGUAAUCGUGCUGUGCAGGAAUGAGACACCAUGAUCGCAAGGCGAAAAAAGACGAGAAAAAAUUUCGUGGACUUUUCGUAUAAACAGAAAACUAUAUAGCUUUGGAGUUCACGUAUGAAUUUUUUUUGUACUGCCGAUCUUCUUUUUUCUCUCUUUUCUUUUUCUCAAAUUCCUCACUCGAAAAUGUUCCCAGGCAUUCCAAUGCGAUAGUGUAUUUCAUUCUGAAAGUUCCGAGUGACUCUCGAUGGAGCUUCUAUACCACGGAGUCCACAUGUAUUGUGCGCUUUUCUCCUUUACCUCCACCUGUAUUUGAGUGAUCAUGGAGCAAAAACGUUCUCGCGAUCGUGGAGGCAAAGAGAGGAAGACAUAGGCCAGAGAAAGAAGGAAUUUUUGCCAAAAUACAAAAGAAAAAGAAAAAAAAGGGGAUUCGUUGAUGCUAGUGUGUGCGUGGUGAGCAGUUGAAGAUUUAUAAAGAAAAAGAAUAAGAAGAAAAAGAUUAAAAAAAAAGCUCUGAAAAAUCAGGCGCAACAGUGAUUAAUUGCAAAAGUGAGAGAUAAUUAAAUUCUCACUUGUGAGACGAGGAGGCAAGAAAAGAUUGGUUACGAAUGGAAAUUUGAAGAGAAAUGGUGAAAAAAAAAACGAGCCAACGUGAAAUAUUUCAAUGUUCCAAUAUUGCUGCAUUCCAGUCUCUCGAUUGCUCCUCUCUAUUCUCUUUGGAGUGGCAUCGACCUCUUUCUUCGAUGUUCUUGCCCUUUUUUCUCCUCUUUCUCUCCUCACAAUUUCUUCAAAUCAUUUUCAAUCACCUUCAUGAAUAAAUUCAAUGAAUUUCAUAGAUAUUGACUCUCAAUGGCGCUUUUUUUCACCACAUCUCAUCAACGAUCGGUCGCGUGGUAUUUUCUUCAUUAGCUGAUGAGACCAAAUGAGGAAGGAAGUUGAUAAUUGAGAUGCAAAGAGUGGUGUUGAGAAAAAAGAAAAUCACCAUUCCUGUUAUUAUUUUAAUUUGUCCAACAAAAA